rnacentral:rRNA from 1 species
UAGUGGCGAACGGGUGAGUAAUGCGUGAGCAACCUGCCUUAUACAGGGGGAUAACAGUCAGAAAUGGCUGCUAAUACCGCAUAAGCGCACAGAGCUGCAUGGCUCAGUGUGAAAAACUCCGGUGGUAUAAGAUGGACCCGCGUUGGAUUAGCUGGUUGGUGGGGUAACGGCCCACCAAGGCGACGAUCCAUAGCCGGCCUGAGAGGGUGAACGGCCACAUUGGGACUGAGACACGGCCCAGACUCCUACGGGAGGCAGCAGUGGGGAAUAUUGCACAAUGGGGGAAACCCUGAUGCAGCGACGCCGCGUGAAGGAAGAAGUAUCUCGGUAUGUAAACUUCUAUCAGCAGGGAAGAUAGUGACGGUACCUGACUAAGAAGCCCCGGCUAACUACGUGCCAGCAGCCGCGGUAAUACGUAGGGGGCAAGCGUUAUCCGGAUUUACUGGGUGUAAAGGGAGCGUAGACGGUGUGGCAAGUCUGAUGUGAAAGGCAUGGGCUCAACCUGUGGACUGCAUUGGAAACUGUCAUACUUGAGUGCCGGAGGGGUAAGCGGAAUUCCUAGUGUAGCGGUGAAAUGCGUAGAUAUUAGGAGGAACACCAGUGGCGAAGGC